AGUAGUUUGAUCAGUGGCCUACAGAGUGAACGCUGGCGGCAGGCCUAAUACAUGCAAGUCGAACGGCAGCACAGCAGAGCUUGCUCUGUGGGUGGCGAGUGGCGGACGGGUGAGGAAUACGGUGGGAAUCUGCCCAGUCGUGGGGAUAACGUAGGGAAACUUACGCUAAUACCGCAUGCGCCCUUCGGGGGAAAGCCGGGGACCUUCGGGCCUGGCGCGAUUGGAUGAGCCCACGUCGGAUUAGCUAGUUGGCGGGGUAAAGGCCCACCAAGGCGACGAUCCGUAGCUGGUCUGAGAGGAUGAUCAGCCACACUGGAACUGAGACACGGUCCAGACUCCUACGGGAGGCAGCAGUAGGGAAUAUUGGACAAUGGGCGCAAGCCUGAUCCAGCCAUGCCGCGUGAGUGAAGAAGGCCCUCGGGUUGUAAAGCUCUUUUGUCCGGAAAGAAAAGCGCCGGGUUAAUACCCUGGUGUCCUGACGGUACCGGAAGAAUAAGCACCGGCUAACUUCGUG
rnacentral:rRNA from 1 species